AUGGAUGAGGAUGAGGACAAGGACAAGGACAAGGACGAUGAGGAAUAUGAGGAGCAAAAUCUGUUUAUAGUCCCACCACAACCGAGUGCUGAUAUGUCGGAUGAUGAUACAUUAGAAGGGUAUAAGGAAUCAGCUGAUGAACUAGAAGGUGACACUAUGUCCGAGGAAUCACUUGUGCAUGUUGUAUCUAGUGAGGAGGAGGCAAGAGAAAGGAAAAAGAACAAGAGGCGAAGAGCCAAUGCUCCUGUUAGGAUGUCAUCGGAUGUUUGGGCCCAUUUUCACAAGGUCAAAGAGCCAUCGACGGAGCAUCCGGGAGAGAUUGUGUUGAAGGCUGUUUGUAAUUAUUGUCCCAAAAAGAGGUAUGCGUAUACGCAAGGUGGCAGCACCUCAACUAUUGGAAGGCAUAUCUUAAAAUGUGAAGGUUUAAGGAACAAGAUCGCUAGGAAUGCCAUCCAAACAACUCUUGAACUGCGCAAAAUCAAUGGUCCAACAAGUGCUCCAACAAUGCACCCCUCUAUUGAGUACAACCAAGGAAUCGUCAAGGAGCUUAUUGCUAAGAUGAUAUGUGUGCAUGAGUAUUCAUUUAGAAUGGUUGAACAUGAGUGGUUCAACAUUCUGAUGAAGUGCAUGAAUCCAAAUUAUAAACCCAUUGGAAGGAAGGCAAUACGAGCCGAGUGCAUGAGGGUUUACAAGAACGAAAAAGAGGUGCUGAAAUCUCUCCUAAAGGGUGUGAGCUCCAUAUGUCUAACUACAGAUUUGUGGACAAGCAACCAAACCUUAUCUUACAUGUGUGUGGUUGCACACUAUAUAGAUGAGAAUUGGAACUUACAAACCCGUGUGCUUGCUUUCAUAGAGUUGGAUCCUCCUCACUCUGGAAAUGUCAUUGCGGAUGCUCUCUAUGCGGUUGUGCUAGAAUGGAAUAUUGAGACCAAAAUUAUGUCCGUCACACUUGACAACGCUUCAAACAAUGAUGGUGCGGUCGAUGCUUUGAAGGCCAAGUUCUUGUUCCGGAGAGGUAAGGACUUCGAAGGCCAAUAUUUUCAUAUCCGUUGUUGUGCACACAUCCUCAACUUGGUCGUGCAAGAUGGGACAGCGAUCUUAGAUAAUUUGAUAAACAGCUUGAGAGAGACGGUGAAGUACUUCAAGAGGUCACCUUCUCGUCUCCAUGCUUUUGUUGCCACUUGCAAAAGCUUGGGUGUCAAAGUUGGUAAUCAUUUACACUUGGAUUGUAAAACAAGGUGGAGUUCAACCUUUAAGAUGAUUAGCACUGCCCGUGGAUAUAAGGAAGCCUUGACCUCUCAUGCUGGUUCAAAUGCCAACUAUGCUUGGGCGCCGACAAACGCAGAGUGGGACAUGUAUGACCUUAUCUCUCCAUUACUUGAGAGUUUGGCUGAGGUGACAAAAGCAUUUUCAGGAAGCUUAUAUCCCACUUCGAACAUCUUCUACCCAUACAUUGUUGGUAUCAAGCUUGCAAUCAAACAUGCAAUGGCUAGUGACAGUGACCACUACAAGGAAAUGGGUGAAGCAAUGUUGGAGAAGUUUGACAAAUAUUGGGAAGAAAAGAACAAUGCCAUGGUGAUCGCAACCAUCUUUGAUCCUAGGUACAAGAUGGGUUACAUAGAGUGGGCCUUUGGAGAACUAUAUGGAGAAGGAAGUACAAGGUUUAGGACUGAGAUCAAAACUGUGGAGAAAGAGUUGGCAGCCUUGUAUGACAAAUGUGUUGCUCAAAAUAAGCAAGCUGGAAAUGGAGAAAGCUCAUCUUCCUCUACAAACAUUCCUAGUAUCCCGGUUCAAGCUGGGUACGAGGCCUUCUUAUCGUCCCGUUCAACAAGAAUAUCAAAGAGUGAGUUGAGGAACUACUUAGAGGAUGCGGUUGCCCCUCGCGACAAGGCUCUUGAUCUUCUUGGUUGGUGGAAAGAGAAUGCUCCAAGGUACCCAAUGUUGGCCAAGAUAGCCAAGAGGUUCAUUACUAUCCCGGCUACCUCCGUGUCUUCGGAAUCUACCUUCAGCACGACCGGAAGGAUUUUAGAUGACUAUAGGAGUUCGUUAAAACCGGUUAUGGUGGAGGCAUUAGUUUGUGGUGCAAGUUAUAUCAAGGGUGCUCAUGUUGACUUGAAUCUGGUGCCGAGGGAUGAGAAUGAAGAGGAUGAUGUUGAGAACAUCAAGUUACCCACUAUGGUGGAGGAGAUCAACGAUUGA
rnacentral:rRNA from 1 species